ensembl:snoRNA
GACUACAGGUGCCUUGGGACCUGUCAACUGUGGCACUCCCCCUUCCUGGUCAUAGUAAAACAUGUUCCUGUGCAUGGCAAACAUGUCACCACUUCAUUGGUAUCUGAUUCUUACUGGCAUUGAUAACAUUC